rnacentral:rRNA from 1 species
GACGAACGCUGGCGGCGUGCUUAACACAUGCAAGUCGAACGGAAAGGCCCUGCUUUUGUGGGGUGCUCGAGUGGCGAACGGGUGAGUAACACGUGAGUAACCUGCCCUUGACUUUGGGAUAACUUCAGGAAACUGGGGCUAAUACCGGAUAGGAGCUCCUGCUGCAUGGUGGGGGUUGGAAAGUUUCGGCGGUUGGGGAUGGACUCGCGGCUUAUCAGCUUGUUGGUGGGGUAGUGGCUUACCAAGGCUUUGACGGGUAGCCGGCCUGAGAGGGUGACCGGCCACCUUGGGACUGAGAUACGGCCCAGACUCCUACGGGAGGCAGCAGUGGAGAAUAUUGCACAAUGGGCGGAAGCCUGAUGCAGCAACGCCGCGUGCGGGAUGACGGCCUUCGGGUUGUAAACCGCUUUCGCCUGUGACGAAGCGUGAGUGACGGUAAUGGGUAAAGAAGCACCGGCUAACUACGUG